UACGAAGGGGGCUAGCGUUGCUCGGAAUGACUGGGCGUAAAGGGCGCGUAGGCGGCUUGCACAGUCAGGCGUGAAAUUCCUGGGCUCAACCUGGGGACUGCGCUUGGAGACGUGUGGGCUUGAGUGGGGAAGAGGGUCGUGGAAUUCCCAGUGUAGAGGUGAAAUUCGUAGAUAUUGGGAAGAACACCGGUGGCGAAGGCGGCGACCUGGUCCUUGACUGACGCUGAGGCGCGGAAAGCGUGGGGAGCAAACAGG
rnacentral:rRNA from 1 species